rnacentral:rRNA from 1 species
UACGAAGGUGGCUAGCGUUGUUCGGAAUCACUGGGCGUAAAGCGCAUGCAGGCGGGUCGUUAAGUUUGGGGUGAAAUCCCGAGGCUCAACCUCGGAACUGCCUCUAAUACUGGCGAUCUUGAGUCCGGGAGAGGUGAGUGGAACUGCGAGUGUAGAGGUGAAAUGCGUAGAUAUUCGCAAGAACACCAGUGGCGAAGGCGGCUCACUGGCCCGGUACUGACGCUCAGGUGCGAAAGCGUGGGGAGCAAACGGG